AAAGCGCGGUCGCCGCUGGAGAUGUGCACAUCAGACGUCCGUAGACACUGAUCGUACGAAGCCUCUUGGAGCCCCUGACUUUCUGAGCCGGAGACAUGGACGGCCCUUGCAAGUGCGGAGACCCCAACUGCCGAUGCAAAGCAUCCUGCCAGUGUGGCUCGGGAGGAUGCGGCUGCGGAGGAUGCAAGUAGAGCACAUGUCUAGGACCAGAGGACGCUGGAGAAAAAGAUGUAACGUGGAGAUGAACCAAGAUGGAAAUCAAACACAAGGCACCGAAGUGACCAUGAUGGUUCCAGCGGCUGGUCCUGUGCAGUGAAUAACCACAACAUCCACUCGAGGAAAUGUGAUCAAUAAAAGGAACAUAUCAAUGCAAAA